rnacentral:lncRNA from 1 species
CACAUAUGUCAUGAAAUAGCAAUUAAAAUGUUCAAUUAAUACACACUCACCCCACCGGAAACAUACAUUAAUGUUUAAUUAAAAAGCACAUAUGUCAUGAAACUAAUAAUAAAACUUAAAAGGUGCACAUAAUAUAUCAGAAUGUUCAAUUAAUAAGCACAUAUGUCAUGAAAUAGCAACAUAUUGCCCAUGCAUUUAUACAUUUCUUUAAUACUCGCACCACGGUCAUAAAAUAUGUUGUCCUCCCUCUUCUUGCUCCCAUGGAUCUGUUCUACAAAAAUAAUAGCAAUUAAAAUAGACAUGGCUGGAAACGUGCAACUGGUACCGGUUUUCUAUAUUGGUAGUGAAACCACUAAAUAUUAUCCAAUAUAACUAAAAAUCAUCAAAAUUAUGUUCUAAAAUAAUUACUUUGUUAUUAUACCUUUCCGUCAUUGUGACUAUCCUUGGCGAAGAUGGCGACUCCGACACUGGCUUCAUCGCUAUGGUGGAGAUCAAGGAUCCUCGCCUUUGGUGUGAUAGUUUUAGUAUAUCCUUGCAUGCGUCAUGUUAAGUCCCGUGAUUUUAAUCAGAUCGUAAAGGAAGCGGUUUGCUGCAUACACUGAAGGAUGAUUUUAGAAUUC